rfam:Danio rerio chromosome 4, GRCz11 reference primary assembly.
GGCCGGUUAGCUCAGCUGGUUAGAGCGUGGUGCUAAUAACGCCAAGGUCGUGGGUUCGAUCCCCGUACUGGCCA